rnacentral:rRNA from 1 species
CAGGUGGUCAGGUAGAGAAUACCAAGGCGCUUGAGAGAACUCGGGUGAAGGAACUAGGCAAAAUGGUGCCGUAACUUCGGGAGAAGGCACGCUGACACGUAGGUGAAGUGAUUUACUCAUGGAGCUGAAGUCAGUCGAAGAUACCAGCUGGCUGCAACUGUUUAUUAAAAACACAGCACUGUGCAAACACGAAAGUGGACGUAUACGGUGUGACGCCUGCCCGGUGCCGGAAGGUUAAUUGAUGGGGUCAGCGCAAGCGAAGCUCCUGAUCGAAGCCCCGGUAAACGGCGGCCGUAACUAUAACGGUCCUAAGGUAGCGAAAUUCCUUGUCGGGUAAGUUCCGACCUGCACGAAUGGCGUAAUGAUGGCCAGGCUGUCUCCACCCGAGACUCAGUGAAAUUGAACUCGCUGUGAAGAUGCAGUGUACCCGCGGCAAGACGGAAAGACCCCGUGAACCUUUACUAUAGCUUGACACUGAACAUUGAGCCUUGAUGUGUAGGAUAGGUGGGAGGCUUUGAAGUGUGGACGCCAGUCUGCAUGGAGCCGACCUUGAAAUACCACCCUUUAAUGUUUGAUGUUCUAACGUGGACCCGUAAUCCGGGUUGCGGACAGUGUCUGGUGGGUAGUUUGACUGGGGCGGUCUCCUCCUAAAGAGUAACGGAGGAGCACGAAGGUUGGCUAAUCCUGGUCGGACAUCAGGAGGUUAGUGCAAUGGCAUAAGCCAGCUUGACUGCGAGCGUGACGGCGCGAGCAGGUGCGAAAGCAGGUCAUAGUGAUCCGGUGGUUCUGAAUGGAAGGGCCAUCGCUCAACGGAUAAAAGGUACUCCGGGGAUAACAGGCUGAUACCGCCCAAGAGUUCAUAUCGACGGCGGUGUUUGGCACCUCGAUGUCGGCUCAUCACAUCCUGGGGCUGAAGUAGGUCCCAAGGGUAUGGCUGUUCGCCAUUUAAAGUGGUACGCGAGCUGGGUUUAGAACGUCGUGAGACAGUUCGGUCCCUAUCUGCCGUGGGCGCUGGAGAACUGAGGGGGGCUGCUCCUAGUACGAGAGGACCGGAGUGGACGCAUCACUGGUGUUCGGGUUGUCAUGCCAAUGGCACUGCCCGGUAGCUAAAUGCGGAAGAGAUAAGUGCUGAAAGCAUCUAAGCACGAAACUUGCCCCGAGAUGAGUUCUCCCUGAGACUUUAAGUCUCCUGAAGGAACGUUGAAGACGACGACGUUGAUAGGCCGGGUGUGUAAGCGCAGCGAUGCGUUGAGCUAACCGGUACUAAUGAACCGUGAGGCUUAACCUUACAAC